rnacentral:rRNA from 1 species
UACGGAGGGUGCGAGCGUUGUUCGGAUUUAUUGGGCGUAAAGCGCGUGUAGGCGGUUUUAUAAGUCUGAUGUGAAAGCCCCGGGCUCAACCUGGGAAGUGCAUUGGGAUACUGUAAGACUUGAAUACGGGAGAGGGCAGUGGAAUUCCUAGUGUAGGAGUGAAAUCCGUAGAUAUUAGGAGGAACACCGGUGGCGAAGGCGGGUCUGCGU